ACGAGACCUCAGGUCAGGCGGGG
rnacentral:rRNA from 1 species